UAUUGUCACUGUGUUCAAAGGUCCUGGACCUACCUGGCUGAAGCCCACUACAGUGACUGUUAUCGUGGUGAUAUUGGCCGGCCUGGUGUUUUUUCUCUCUUGGUCAGUAACUCACUGUAGCCCAGAGGCCUGCUACGCCUAUUUCCGCAAGGAGCCACAGCCCACUGCACUGCUCCUUGAUUGGCCUCUCACAAGAGUCAAGAUCUAUCCCCAAGAUGAGCUUCGUGAACCAAUCCACGCCGUCCUUUUAACUGAGCAUCAAAGAGGACUGAGCAGCAGUGAGCCAUCCAGUCAAUUGGAUAAGUGGACACAAUCUAUAUGUUCAGAAGGCACAGACAGACCAUAUCAAGUUUGAUUGAUACUGUAGGUUAAUAAGAAUGGUCAGAAGUGAUGAGUCUGGAUUGGAGAAGUCAGGAGGCCGGCAGUUGCUCAGAGGGAGACAGAAGGAUCCUGUGUGGCUCAGUUGGUUAGGGCAAUGACGCUUGUAACUCCAGGGUUGUGGGUUCGAUUCCCAUGGGGGACCAGUAUGAAAAGUGUAUGCACUCACUUUUGUAAGUCUGCUAAACUACAAUGUACAAUUAAGUAUUUGUGUUCUAGAUAGGUCCGAGAUGUAUAUGGGUGAUUCUACAGAAGUGGUGCAAAUUGCAGUCCCACCCCCAAAAAAAACUGUUACGUCUCCAAACUUAGGAACUUUUUUACAUCAUGAUAUGUUCUAAUUCAAUCUAAGACAAUAACAAACAUAUUGUUAAUUAAUAUAAUACAAAGUCAUUGUUUAUACKCUAUUUCUAUUGACAGGUGGCUAUUCCAAACCAUGUCUCCUAAACUCCAUGUUUUGAAAAUAAAGCAAUGAAUGAUUUUAGUAAUUUUUAUUUCA